rnacentral:rRNA from 1 species
CCUACGGGAGGCAGCAGUGGGGGAUAUUGCACAAUGGGGGGAACCCUGAUGCAGCGACGCCGCGUGGGUGAAGAAGCGCCUCGGCGCGUAAAGCCCUGUCAGCAGGGAAGAAAAUGACGGUACCUGAAGAGGAAGCCCUGGCUAACUACGGGCCAGCAGCCGCGGUAAUCCGUAGGGGGCAAGCGUUAGUCGGAUUUAACGGGUGUAACGGGGGCUGAGACGGGGAUGCAAGCCAGGAGGGAAAGCCGGGGGCUCAACCCCGGGGCUGCCCUGGAAACUGCGGGGCUGGAGUGGGGGAGAGGUAGGCGGAAUGCCUGGUGUAGCGGUGAAAUGCGUAGAUAUCAGGAGGAACACCGGUGGCGAAGGCGGCCUGCUGGAGUGCAACUGACGCUGAGGCCCGAAAGCGUGGGGAGCAAACAGGAUUAGAUACCCGAGUAGUC